rnacentral:lncRNA from 1 species
UAAAAUUUUGUAGAUAUUUUUUAAUUGCACCUGUAAAUAUAAUACAUAUAAAAUUUUAUAUGUAUAAAAAAUAUAUCCUACAACAAUCAUAAUAUAAUUGAAAUACACUUCACUCGCAAUUUAACUCAACCAUGUAUAUAGGGAGAAAUGAUCUAAAUAAUUAUAUGUUGUCUUUAGCUUCAUUUGCACUCCGCAACCCUAGUCCAUGUUCGCCACCUCAGUAGUGACAAAUCCGGCUCGCAAUGCCCCCUUCCACCUCCAUGAACACACACUUCACAAUCAAUUGAACCAUCUAUACAAUUACUAACAUGUUGCAUCCCUUCUAAGAAGGAUUGACUUGAAAGGGGCACCUUACCCAUGAUUCUCCUGUUUUUAUGAUCUCUGCUAUCUGGGCAACAUCCAGAUUGUAGAGACGUCAUUCUCUUGAGCACAUCAGACAUAUGUGUCUUCUAUUGCUACUUCUGCUUGAGUGUGCUGGUGAAUGAUCUCAUUUGGUAUGUAACAGAUAGACAAAAAACCUACCAAAAAUAUCAGUGUUAUAUUAACUCAUUGGUGUUGUUAACUCCAAAAAUAUGGGAGUGUAAAUUUCCAGGAAAUCAUCUAAGAAAUUAUUACUAGUACUGAAAUCAGUUGUCAAAAAAAUGGUAACCAAACAUUAGAAAGAUGGUCCCUGAACACACAUUACAGAAAAUAAUCAUAUAUGAAUUAUAUUAGGUAAAAGUAAUUGGGCAUCACAUUAUGAGAUACUAAAAUUGGAAUUAAUCACCACGAUAUUUAGUGAGGAUCUGAACUAUCUCAUACUUCAUACUCUGCUUGCUUGAACUUCAAAUAAACAUGCUAUGCACCAAUUGGAAGAACCAGAUCACUUAGAUCAAAAUGUUAUCCACAAUUUGAAAGAACAUAGCAGCAUACAAGAUCUCCUUUCAGAAUAUAAAAAAUAACCAUCCAACACAUGUCCUGCAAGCAACAUUGUGCAAGUGUAUAACAACUACAUGUCAAAUAUGCAAUAAUUUGGGGAAUGAAGGAUCACUUUUACACCCUUAUUUUAUGGACCGAAUAUGAAACUCGCAUGUCCAUAAGACAAGCAACAAAUAUAUCUAGGUCUAAAUAUCCAUGGGCACUCUACAUGGCAAAUAUGCAAUAAUUUGGGGAAUAAAGGAUCAUUUUUACACCACCACCCCCCCCCCCUUUUUGGAGCGAAUAUGCUCCCAAGCUCCAAUCAGAUCGAGCGAGCGAAACCAAGAACCGCCUACAUCAUAGUUCAAGGGCCAAGGUAAUUAACCUCGUCUGAUUAGAAGACGAAUGUUAUCCCCAAGAAUAACCCGUCCAAUUCAUUUCCCUAAGGAAAAUUCUUCCAGUUGGAAGAAACCAUAAGUUUAUGCGAACUGAUCUCUGAAAUUUGAAUUACAUACUGAUUCGAUAGCAUCAAAUUAGUACAAAAAUAUUACUUACCAGUUGUGUUGAACAAUCACCAGAUCAGCAAGCAAGCAAGAUAUGUCUGGGGCCAACUUGUUGAAGGGCAGAAAAGGACCAAGUGCAGUGAUGUUGCUAUUUGCUGAGGUAAGCAACUGUGGUUAUUCCCAUAUGAUCUAGAGUCUAGAUAGGUAAAAAGAUAUGGAGUAUGAAUCCUUCGCACAAUUCAAUCCUUUGAUUGUGUGAAUGCAUACAUUCGCCAGUAUUACAUCACACUUACAAAGUUGUUAUGUGGUGACAUGCUAAUCCUCCUCAAAACCUAAGCCAUUGUUUGCGAGAAUGGCCGGCGGCAGUCAGAGUAAACCCAUGAGGCCAAUGCCAUGGCCACCGCCCACCAUGCCCGGAGCUCCUCGUUGGACCGAACGCGGUACCUCUCUGUGACGUCUGGCGCCACCUCUGUCAAGAUAUGUUUUGUAUAUAACCAUUAUCAACUACUCCAUCUGUAAAGAAAUAUAAGGGCGUUUAGAUCAUUAAUACAGAGGCGAUACAUCCUUCAAGGAUCGCAGCAUGUACGCAUACCAUGAGACCCAUCAGGCACAUGAUCUAUCCGUUUGAUGGUGCCCAUGUUGUUCAUCUAAGCUCAAACUUGUGAUAGGUAGUUGUGUACUACUCCACUGUAGAAAUCUCAAGAUACUGCAGAAUGGUAGCAUGGAUACGAUCACCCUGCAAAGAGCAAACAAUAUGUUUUAAGCAGGAACAAAAAGGAAUAUUUUAACAGUUAUAAGUAUACCAGAGCACAUUGAUAUUUGAGCUGGAAAAAAGAGUAAUUCUAGAAAAACAUAAAUGGCCUCAAACGUAACGCAAAAUAACCAAUACCGUAUUCAGUUAUGAUGUUUUUUAUAGGCAUCAUACGGAAUAAUAUUAACCCUCUUCCUUUAAGCAACAAUCAAAUAGAAAGAUAGCCUCUUCUUUAACCAUUCGUACAAAACAUAGAUUGUUUGUUUCGUCCAGAAAAUAAAGGAAACCCAAACUUAGGAUAAAUAUAAGAUAUAAGGAGGCCAUGAAAAACAUGCUGCUGCAUUAACAAGUUAAAACCUUCUUGAACGUUCUGUUCUUGACCUGUUAUUCACAAUUAUGUUCAUUAAUUCUUAACAAGCCAAGACUGACGCGAACCUAUUAUUCAUGAUUAUGUUCAUUAAUUCUAAACGAGCCAAGACUGACGCCAACAAUAACAAAAAACUUCAAGUAUGGCGUACCAUAAAAGAGAGAAGACACUAUAUAUAAUAGAUCAUCAGUUUUCUAACCCCGCCCGUUGUGUCAUCGCCUCUAAUACUAAUUACCUAGACCACACCAAGGGCAUUUCGAAGAUCUAAAUAUCGAAUCACUUUCUGGACAGAAAAAAAUAUCCAACUCAAAUAGAAAUGAGUAUACCAAAUAGCUUGGUAUGAGCUUGCAGUGAGAACAUCAUCUGUGUCUGAACUUAGUGUUGCCAUCAAGUUCAAAACUCAACGAUCAUAUAGGAGAUCGAUGGACAGAACUAAACCAUAAUUUUUUCCAUGAAUGUGUAAACAUGAACUAAACCAGGUAUGGGUUAUUAAAAAUGGAACAAUUGGAGCAGAACAUUUGCAAGAAGCAAACCAAAUUGAGCCACCUACACUGAUAAGCCCAUGUGUUAAAUCAAAAGGAAACCAUACCUACUAUAUAAUACACUUUUGAAUUAAACCAGGUCUGGGUUAUUAAAAAUGGAACAAUUGGAGCAGAACAUUUGCAAGAAGCAAACCAAACUGAGCCACCUACACUGAUAAGCCCUUGUGCUAAAUCAAAAGGAAACCAUACCUACUAUAUAAUACACUAAUAAAGACAACGAUAAUAUAAACAAGAAGCAUAGACCACUAGACCUCAAGUGCAGCCGUAAAAACUCAUUAUCGUUGUCGUCAGCAAACGCAAACAUGGAUCCACCAGUCAUUACUAUUGUCAUUCAGCUUCCGCAAUAUCAGAAACCACAAAGAGAACCUGCCAACAUGCAAAGAAGAAGAUCAUCAGCUCACACCUAUCAACAAUUAAAUAGAUCUAUAGCAAAAGCAAAUAGAAACAUAUAUGCCAAUGUCCAUGACCAAAUUCAUACAGCCCCACACCCAUUGUAAAACACACACCCCUAACAAACAGCAUGGCAAAAGGAAAAAGGCAAACAGCACGCAAGAAUCUCAUUAUCUGGCAUGUUCAGUCAUGAAUGAAAAUAUUGAGAGUAUUUAAAAAUAGAUCUCUACAUCCCUCUAUAUUGCCUUGUUAUAUAUCUACCAAAUGGAGCAAAAGGUUACCCUAAAUAAGUUAUAGACAUCAAUUUGUGCUUCCGAAACUACUGUGAAUCGCGUAGCUCAAAAUUUAGAACUUGUUAAAAUAACAUGAGAGAUUACUUAAUGAUGUAGAUGAAGAUAAAGCGGACGCAUUAGGUUCAGUGUCAAGUGGUUGUUGUACCUGCAGAUUGUUGUAAUUUUUUUAGUCCAACUGCUACGCUCGUACAGUAUCAAAUAUCAAGAACUUGGCCAAUUGCAGUGAAUCAUUGAGAUGCUAUAGAUAAUAUCCAAGCCCAUAGUGAUUAAAUAACAACAUAAGAAAAGAGCCUGAGUGAACCAGUAACAUCUAUCGAAUAGCUUAAAUUAUCAAAUAGAUCAAUCAAAACUACUGAUCGAGCAGCUACGCUGAGAAGAUGUCAAGCGUGGAGCACCCUGAUGGUUCUGCGGCU